rnacentral:lncRNA from 10 species
CAAAUUUCAGUUUCAAAAUUGUCUUUGCUGACACCUGGCUUUUUGGAUACUUCAGAGGGCCCCUGGAGUGUCCAGAAAAGAGAGGACACAAUUGGAAAAAGUUGGUUAUUUUACCAUGGCUUUGACUGGAAAGCAGCAAUCUCCAGCCGCGGCUCAGAAAGAACAAGAGGGAUGGGUAAUGUAAACAUCUGGAUCAAGGCCGGGUUUGGUGGCUCAUGCCUGUAAUCCCAGCACUUUGCAAGGCUAAGGUAACCAAACUCCAAACAGCAAUGGAACCAGAGCCUCUGAAGGUGGCCCCUUCUGCUGGCAACCCUUAGACAGGCCUCACAGGGAGCCCUGACUGCUGUUUCCCCAAACAGCAUACCCCGUCAGUAGAAAGCACUUAGGAUCGAUUUUCGGGCCCACUUGGUGGCACGUGCC